GAUCGGGAUAACAACCUGGAAACAGAUGCUAAUACCGGAUAACAACAGAUGAUGCCUAUCAACUGUUUAAAAGAUGGUUCUGCUAUCACUCUUGGAUGGACCUGCGGUGCAUUAGCUAGUUGGUAGGGUAACGGCCUACCAAGGCGAUGAUGCAUAGCCGAGUUGAGAGACUGAUCGGCCACAUUGGGACUGAGACACGGCCCAAACUCCUACGGGAGGCAGCAGUA
rnacentral:rRNA from 1 species